rnacentral:lncRNA from 1 species
GUGACUCAGAGGUGGGGGAAGAGGAGGGACCUGCAAUGUGGUCUCAGUCUGAAAAUUUUUGGGAAUGAGCUUAGUUUCGUGGACUGUGGGGCAGUGAGAAGCCACAUGAAGAGGUACUCCCUGAACCUGGCUGAACUGACUGUCAGACUCCUCAAGGUACAUGCUGGGUGGAGCUGCCGCUGGGCUUGGGAACUGAUUGUUGACAGGAGGUGCUGUCAAUCCCCUCCCUUUGGCUGCAGGGUCAGGAGGUGCAGAUUAACAGAAGGCUGAGCUUGGCAACCGAAGAGCUCUCCUUUCCAACUGUGUCGGGCCUCCCUGUGCAAUUAGCCUUGAACGCAUCAGCUGCCAUCCACAUCCGGAUACGGGGGACCGUGGACUUCAAGCAGCUUUCGGAUUUCUCCUUGGAGGGCUAUAUUAAGCCAAGUGCCUUGAUACAGAUCGCAGCUCAGAUGGGUGUGGCAGGCUUCCAUGGGAAAGCAGGGGUGAAGUGGGUGACUGGCAUUCGAAGUUCCACCAGCCUCGAUGGAGGAAUCAUGGCGAAAAGGGGACAGGAGCUCAAGAUGUUUCUGAAUACGCCGGAGGAAUCCAUGGAACUGGUGAAUUUCAGGUAGGCCUAAGUAGUAACGGACCACGUUUUACUAGAUGUUCAUGAAGGAGUAGGCCUAG